UAAUACGUAGGGAGCGAGCGUUGUCCGGAAUUACUGGGUGUAAAGGGCGUGUAGGCGGGAUUGCAAGUCAGAUGUGAAAUACCGAGGCUUAACUUCGGGGCUGCAUUUGAAACUGCGAUUCUUGAGUGAUGGAGAGGAAAGCGGAAUUCCUAGUGUAGCGGUGAAAUGCGUAGAUAUUAGGAGGAACACCAGUGGCGAAGGCGGCUUUCUGGACAUUUACUGACGCUGAGGCGCGAAAGCGUGGGGAGCAAACAGG
rnacentral:rRNA from 1 species